CCUACGGGAGGCAGCAGUGGGGAAUUUUGGGCAAUGGGCGAAAGCCUGACCCAGCAACGCCGCGUGUGCGAUGAAGGUCUUCGGAUCGUAAAGCACUUUUCGGGGAGAUGAGAAAGGACAGUAUCCCCGGAAUAAGUCUCGGCUAACUACGUGCCAGCAGCCGCGGUAAAACGUAGGAGGCAAGCGUUAUCCGGAUUUACUGGGCGUAAAGCGCGUGCAGGCGGUUCGGUAAGUUGGAUGUGAAAGCUUCCGGCUCAACUGGGAGAGGUCGUUCAAUACUACCGGACUUGAGAGUGGUAGAGGGAGGUGGAAUUCCCGGUGUAGUGGUGAAAUGCGUAGAUAUCGGGAGGAACACCAGUGGCGAAAGCGGCCUCCUGGACCAUUUCUGACGCUCAGACGCGAAAGCUAGGGGAGCAAACAGGAUUAGAUACCCUGGUAGUCCACGCCGUAAACUAUGGGAACUAGGUGUAGGGAGUGUUGACCCUUUCUGUGCCGAAGCUAACGCAUUAAGUUCCCCGCCUGGGGAGUACGGUCGCAAGGCUAAAACUUAAAGGAAUUGACGG
rnacentral:rRNA from 1 species